CACGUAGGGUGCGAGCGUUGUCCGGAAUUAUUGGGCGUAAAGAGCUCGUAGGCGGUCUGUCGCGUCGGUCGUGAAACCUGCAGCUUAACUGUGGGCUUGCGGUUCGAGUACGGGCAUGACUGGAGUUCGGCAGGGGAGACUGGAAUUCCUGGUGUAGCGGUGAAAGUGCGCAGAUAUCAGGAGGAACACCGGUGGCGAAGGCGGGGUCUCUGGGCCGAUACUGACGCUGGAGGAGCGAAAGCGUGGGGAGCGAACAGG
rnacentral:rRNA from 1 species